rnacentral:pre_miRNA from 2 species
AAUGGAAUUGCUGGGUUAUAUGGUAAGUUUAUGUUUAACUUUUUAAGAAACUGCCAAACAGUUUUCCAAAGUGGCUGAACCAUUUUACAUUUGCAUCAGUAAU